GACGAACGCUGGCGGCGUGCCUAAUACAUGCAAGUAGGACGCAGUUGCGAACGGGUGAGUAACGCGUAUGUAACUACCUAUUAGAGGGGGAUAACUAUUGGAAACGAUAGCUAAUACCGCAUACUAGUUGAUGGACCUGCGUUGUAUUAGCUAGUAGGUAGGGUAAUGGCCUACCAAGGCAACGAUACAUAGGCGACCUGGGGAGGUGAACGGCCACACUGGGACUGGAGAACGGGCCAGACUCCUGAGGGAGGGAGCAGGAGGGAAACUUCGGGAAUGGGGGGAACCCUGACCGAAGAACGCCGCGUGAGUUGAGAAGGUUUUCGGAUCGUAAAGCUCUGUUGUUAAGGAAGCGGUACUUAACCAGAAAGGGACGGCUAACUACGUGCCAGCAGCCGCGGUAAUAC
rnacentral:rRNA from 1 species